AGUUGAAGCAGAUGAUUCACACCACAGAAGAGGAUUACAAGCUGAAAGAAGCUACAGCCUGCACCAGUGCAUUGCACGAGUUAAAUCAGAAGAUGGAAAAGUUUCAGCAGGAGUUUUGCAAGGGAAACUCAGGAAGUUCAAACGAGACACACGGGAUUACGAGAAAGGGGAAGUUUACAGUUGGAAGAACGCCAGACGCGAAUAUCGACAGCGCAGAGUGCCAGUGAAUACGACACAGGAAACUUCUACUCCUUUCUCGUGUGCCCAAGACAGCUUUUCAUCGGCGUCCUCACAAAGUGCUGCUGCUUCCUCUUCAUUUGGUUCUGCUUCAGCUUCUUUUUUAGGGGUCGAUCAGUUGGAAAAAAGGCCCGGACGAGAAGAGGGGGGAGAAAGAAACCGACCACCAGGCAAGCGCAACGAAUUCCAGAGGCUGGCGAAAAAACACCGGACACGUGGAAGAUAAAACGAUGCAGAAUGGAAACUCUGUGGUGAUUUCCAGGAAUGUCUUUCUACCUACUGGAGUGGAAUUGCAGCAAAAUCCAGGCAGAAGAAAACAGAGACAUAAUCACUUUAUGCGCACCCUCACCUAACUCAGUCUGGCCUCUGGCAUAAUGAGCUCCCACCAUGCUUCCCAACAAUUCAAAAGUCAAUUUAUGGCAAGCCCCCAAUUCUCCCUAAUUUGCCUAGUUUUACCCAGACCACCCCCCAUCUGCCCAACACCCUGCCCACUUUCUGCUAACCUCUGUCCUUUUAGAGUCACAUGGGUACAUGUUUGCCUAUUAGAUAUGGAAGAACAUGGGAAAUAAAUGCUGCCAGGAUGAACCUAAUAGAUACAUUGGCAUUGGAAUAUAAAUUAUAGACUGUUACAACUCUAAUAAUGGCAGCUCGGGACAUUCAUCAUACACAGAGCCCCAAGUCAAGCCUCUUUAGGCUGAACAAGAUUUUAUCAGAAUCCCCUCCUCCUGGCCAUCUGGACAUCCAGCUUCCCAUCAUCUCCGAUGAGUUUAAAUUUUAAGUUCGGAGGAAGAUGUUUAGAGCCCUGAUGCCGGGUAAGGAGAUAAAGUGCACUGUAUAGAUAGUGGCCUAAUCCACCAAUUCAAGCUAAAUCCAGUUCAUAUCAUCAUAAUAGUGUCGGGCACACACUGGCACUAGUUUGGCAGAGAUUGAUUUGUAUUGUAUAUUAUGAGGACCAACUGUUGUAUCUCAUGAGACAAUAUGGUGACUUGAUCAUGAGCACCUAUUUGAUAGGUAUCAUGUCAUGUAAGAGAUAAGAACACUCUGAUACUUUACCUGUGAUGUUGUGUAGUUGACUUAAAUCUUAGAAAUUAGAAAACCUUUCUCACAUCUUUCCUAAGCAGAAGAACAUCAGCCUCUUUCUUUCUCCUGACAACUUCCUUGACUACU